CCACCCACGACCCUCCCCCUAGGGUUUCGGGUGCCGGCUCCGGUGCCGAUGGCCAUGGCAUCCUCCUCUCAUUCGGGAGGAACUAGCUGUGUGUGAACUCCACCAUGACGCUGCUGAUGGUGAUGAUGUGAUGUGCCGCGGCAUCGACGAGGAUGUGCUAAGGCGGGAAGUUGAAAGGGAAUACAUGACCAUGAAACUCGAUGGCACGGUGCUGGGGGUGGAGGACAUGGCCAACACGGCGCUGUAUGUGGAGUCAGACGAGGCUAGGGAGCUCUCAAACUGCACAGAGUCAAGAUUAAUGCUAUGCUCCCAUCAAUGAUUCCAGCGGAAGAUAUUUGUAACCUCAAGUGUUAUACAAGGUUACUAUCGCAUUGCUGAAUUUAGAGCAGAACACAACCACCAGCCAGC